rnacentral:rRNA from 1 species
AUUGAACGCUGGCGGCAGGCUUAACACAUGCAAGUCGAGCGGGGAAGGGUAGCUUGCUACCUGACCUAGCGGCGGACGGGUGAGUAAUGCUUAGGAAUCUGCCUAUUAGUGGGGGACAACAUUCCGAAAGGAAUGCUAAUACCGCAUACGCCCUACGGGGGAAAGCAGGGGAUCUUCGGACCUUGCGCUAAUAGAUGAGCCUAAGUCAGAUUAGCUAGUUGGUGGGGUAAAGGCCUACCAAGGCGACGAUCUGUAGCGGGUCUGAGAGGAUGAUCCGCCACACUGGGACUGAGAAACGGCCCAGACUCCUACGGGAGGCAGCAGUGGGGAAUAUUGGACAAUGGGCGAAAGCCUGAUCCAGCCAUGCCGCGUGUGUGAAGAAGGCCUUUUGGUUGUAAAGCACUUUAAGCGAGGAGGAGGCUACCGAGAUUAAUACUCUUGGAUAGUGGACGUUACUCGCAGAAUAAGCACCGGCUAACUCUGUGCCAGCCGCCGCGGUAACAC